GACAGAGGGUGCAAACGUUGUUCGGAAUUACUGGGCGUAAAGCGUGUGUAGGCGGUCCUACAAGUCAGGGGUGAAAGCCCCGGGCUCAACCCGGGAAGUGCACUUGAUACUGUUUGACUAGAGUACUGGAGAGGUUGGUGGAAUUCUCGGUGUAGAGGUGAAAUUCGUAGAUAUCGAGAGGAACACCUGUGGCGAAGGCGGCCAACUGGACAGAUACUGACGCUGAGACACGAAAGCGUGGGGAGCAAACAGG
rnacentral:rRNA from 1 species